rnacentral:lncRNA from 1 species
AGCUGCGGCUCGCCCAGUAUCAUCCCCUCAGCAGUGGCUAGUGACAGAACAUUAAGGCUGAAAAUAUGGAGAAACUGCUGCAUAGCGACAUGGCUGCGACCCAGGGACACGCAAAGAAUGGCCUAUGGCCUAAUCUCUAACCCUUGUUCAAAUUGUUCAAGUUGUGUACAGAUAGGGAUCCGAAUUCUGAAGUUUUCCUGUAACCUUCUCCUGUAACCAAUUGUUCAAAGUGCUGAUUUUGGUGUAA